rnacentral:tRNA from 1 species
UCCCUGGUGAUCCAGUAGUUAGAACUCUGCACUUCCACAGCAGGGGACACGGGUUUGAUCCCCGGUCAGGGAA